AUCCCCUGUACAGUUGGAAACCAGUUUAUCGAAAUUCGAUUAUUAGGUGAGUCAGUCAUGCAUAAUUUAAAAUCUCUUUGACGUGCAUUGAGGGAAUGCAAUGGCUAUUUUCAGACGGCCAUCAGAUAGUAUUGUUCAACCUUGAGGAUUAAAGCGGCAGUGCAGAUCGACGUAUUAGGGGUGCACAAACUGAAUUGAGAACGAUUGUCCACUUAAGAAGCUCUAGGGAGUGAAUUUACCUCAAACACAGAAAUCUAUGAAGUUGCUCAUUAAGGCAGCUAUCUGGAUUGUGUUUCCCUCACACGCUUCUCCAACAAAACUAAAAUACUAGUUUGAUUGCUUAGUCGACGAUGUUCGGUACAUCUUAAAACUGCUUCUGGCGAUAAGAAAACCUGCAGGAUCAGAACUAACGGGAAUGAAAAAGAUCCACAACAAGCAAAAUCUGAACCGGUCAGAUUUCUACUAAUGGACUAAGG